CCUGCCAUGGCUGGAAACGACUGGAAAUGGCGGCGGAGGGAGGCCCGUCGUCGGGCAGAAGCUGCGCUCCCUCGAACGGCGGCGGCGGCGGCUGAGGCGGCUGAAGCGGUGCGAGAAAGAGCGGCGUCGGGCAGUUCUGGCGGCCGCAGCGUGGAGAGGAGACGGUGGCGAUGCUAAAGGGGAGGAGGGAGGCCGGCCAAGCACCGCCCCUCGCAAGAUGGCGCCCACCACGGGCCCUCAGCCGGCUGGGGGACUGUAUUAGCAUUUGUCUGUUCUACAGAAAAGAAUGUUAAUUUUCAUUAUCAAGCACUCCUUGAAUAUUUCAAACAGCUAAGAAACAAAUCAAAACAGCAAAUCUACAAAAUAAAACUGUGAACUUAGAACAAACAGCCAUAAAAACAGCUUAGCAAGAACAACUGGGACGAAUAACAGCCAGAGCUUAUGACAAAAGAAAUAAUCAAGAACAUCAUCCAACGCAAGCCACUUCCUCUUGGUAUGAUGGCAUUCACUAUGAUGCAAUUGGACUUUCUGAUAAUUAUACCACAAUGUUUAUACCAACAUAGCACAUCUGCAGUUUUUAAAGGAAGAAAUCUGUACUGUAUGGAAAAUACAGUAUGAAGAAAUCUGUACUGUAUGAACAAUGCACACCAUUCUAAACUCCUUGGAAAAUCCAGAAGCAACUCAACUGUAAUGAGAUGAGAGGGCAUUCUGAAAAUCCUGAAAAUUAUAAUCAAAAUAUUUUUAAAAUUGUUACUAUGAAAAGAAAAUCAGAUUUUUAUGGCCUGUAAAGUAAGAAGCAGAAGACAUGUAAGAAUAGAUCUAAAAGCCAGAUAGGGCACAAAACUUUGUAGUCACAUCUUUUUUUAGCAUAGGCGUUCAGAAUUAAAGAGACCAGCGUGAAGGCCAGUAUAGACGUCUUGGUGAAACAAGCCCCAAGUCUGCACCUUAAGUCCCAAAGAUCUUUAUUUAAAAGAAAAAAGAAUCCAGCCUUCCCAGGGACUGAAAACUACAAUAAGGAUUGGCUAAAGAGACUCAUCCUGGGCCAAUACAAAAAAAGUUAAAGACUGUCAGUCACAAUAUGUAUGUAAAUCAGAUUUGGGAACUUGUUGUCAAUAGAAGUGACUGAACUUGAGGCUCAUGGUUUAUUCAUGAUUUUAGUUUGACUAAAGAUAUAGGUAACCUCACCUCAUACUUGUAGAGUGGUUAGGAAGGAAAAGCAUUUCCCACGUUCAUCACAUCAGCAUAAUCCUGAAAUGUAUUUAACUAGAAUUGUGGAGACUUAGGUUCAAAUUUACACCCUGCCAUAAAGCUUCCUGUGUGAUCUUGGUCCAGACACUUUUGCUAAGCCUAAACGGUCUCACGGUGUUGUUGUGAGGAUAAAACAAAAGAAGAGAGAACCAGCCCAGAACCAUGUUUUCCAUCCUGAGUUCAUUGGAAGAAGGGAUGAAUAAAAAUGUAAUAGCAACAAACUGGCAAUUAGAAUGGGGAAGAUUAGAAAACAAAGGAUUAUAAA